UCUCCGUAGGUGAACCUGCGGAGGGAUCAUUACCGAGUGAGGGUUCCGGCCCGACCUCCAACCCUUUGUGAAUUCGACCCAGUUGCCUCGGGGGCGACCCGGUAACUGUUCGGAGAAGCUACCCUGUAGCUACCCUGUAACGGCCUACCCUGUAACGUCCUGCCGGUGGACCUUUAAACUCUUGUUAUUUUAUAGUAAUCUGAGCGUCUUAUUUUAAUAAGUCAAAACUUUCAACAACGGAUCUCUUGGUUCUGGCAUCGAUGAAGAACGCAGC
rnacentral:misc_RNA from 1 species